ensembl:lncRNA
AAUCACUUGGGAAGAUUUGAAUCCUAAGGCCUGGACCUCAUUCCCAUCCUGGACUUCUUGGAUUUUAGCGGUUUCAGGCUCCCAAAUUCUAGGCUGUAAAGGGCAAAGGAGAGAUUCAUUGACAAGGUCCAAUCCUCUCUUCUGAUUGUCUCAUUAGAAUGCUGACAGCUUAUCAAAAAAGGCCCUCAGAGCCAUCCUUGGGAAUCUAGAUGGAGUUUUUCAGCUGAGGCACUUCACACCCUGGACAGCUGCAAGCCCUCCAUGGGAGAUGCAGUCUUGAGCAAUACCCUGUGCGUGGAAGAUGCGCAGUCAAGCCAUCCUGCUCACUGGGACCUGAGCUCUCUGAGUCCUUUAAGAGGUGGCAGCAACAUGGCGCCAGGCAGGCACCAAAGGAAGACUAUGCAUGUGUGGAGGAAGGAGAACUCUAUCUGUGCCCAGACGAGAGGGCUUGGCCGCGCAGUGAAUCACACACGGGGAGAGGCAGCACCAAAAGACAGAUGAAGGACAGGUGGAAGAAAGGAGGGCAAUUUUGCUGGUGCAGUCGGGUGUCACAACUGCAGUGAUUACUGAACUGAAAUUGUCCCUGACAAUUCAGGGACACUUAGUGUUACGAACUGAAUGUUUGAGUCCCCCUAAAAUUCACAUGGUGAAUC